rnacentral:tRNA from 1 species
AGUAAAAAAGUGUUUUGUGCACAUGGAGUUUUGGUCUCCAAAGAGAUAAUUCACUUUGUCUUUUACUA